AGAGUCCGUCAGUCCGGGACGAGGUACUGAGAAACUUUUUUUUUUGUACCUUUAAUUGGUGCGUUCGGCUGAAAGGCGGGGCCUGGUAAAAAAAAAAAAACAGAACUGCUGCUGAGGCGGAGGAGAGGACUUAAGGACUAUGGGUUUAUCCUCUGGCCGGACCAAAGAGAAGAUAUUUACUCCAGUGAGUGCGAAGUGAGUGCCUCGUUCACACCCACAGUCGCGCCGUCCCCUCUUCCCGCUCUGGGGCCAGCAACUCUUGUUAGAAUGCAGAUGCCUUUUGUCCAUGGACUGUGAGGCAGCAGACACUCUCUGCGUAGGAUCAUCAUGCCGAGCAUAAACUGGACUUUCCCACUUGCCUGGCAGGAGUCACACAGAUCCCUGCGUGCUAAAUGAACAUCUGAGGUCUUUGAGGAAUCGCCACACUGUUUUCCACAAAGGUCAAACUAAUUUACACUCCCACCAACAAUGUACCCUUGAAUCCUGACUAUUGGAGAAACAGCACCAUAUUUUGGAUACUGAUUCAGACCAUAUACAGCCUUCUGGAGAAUCUUGCCCCAGUCCUGAAAGUUCUGGCUCAUUGUAUAAGAGAAGUUUGCUGCCUUAGUGAGAUUUGUUUUGGUAUCAGGAUGAUGCUGGCAUCAUAAAAUGAGUAUUUUUCUUCAGACUUCAGACUGCUGUGCUGGAAGCAAGAAUUUCAAGCAUUGGAUCUUAGCUUGCUGGGCUCCAUAGGGGUGGGAUCCACUGAGCUAGACC
ensembl:lncRNA novel transcript